UACGGAGGGUGCGAGCGUUGUCCGGAAUCACUGGGCGUAAAGGGCGCGUAGGCGGCCCGGUAAGUAGGGGGUGAAAUCUUGCGGCUUAACCGCAAGGCUGCCUUCUAAACUGCCAGGCUCGAGCACAGUAGAGGCAGGUGGAAUUCCUGGUGUAGCGGUGAAAUGCGUAGAUAUCAGGAGGAACACCUGUGGCGAAAGCGGCUCACUGGACCAUAACUGACGCUGAGGAGCGAAAGCGUGGGGAGCAAACAGG
rnacentral:rRNA from 1 species